UUUCCUCUUCUUCACGUUUUUAUUUCUCUGUUCUUAUCCUUUUCUUUCCUUAUUUCUUCACCACCACACACAUAUAACAUACGUAAUAUAAUAUAUAAUAUAUAUAAUAUGUGGUAUUAAUUAAUGAUACAAAAUAUCUCAAUUGAUAUUUUGUCUUCUAGUACCAAUUGACCAAUUAUUAAUGUUACCAAAAUAUCCUCUCUUGUACUUAUUGAUAAUGGUCGUUCUCUUUUAAUAAUAAUUGAUCUCUUCAG
rnacentral:lncRNA from 1 species